GGUUAAGCGACUAAGCGUACACGGUGGAUGCCCUGGCAGUCAGAGGCGAUGAAGGACGUGCUAAUCUGCGAUAAGCGUCGGUAAGGUGAUAUGAACCGUUAUAACCGGCGAUUUCCGAAUGGGGAAACCCAGUGUGAUUCGUCACACUAUCAUUAACUGAAUCCAUAGGUUAAUGAGGCGAACCGGGGGAACUGAAACAUCUAAGUACCCCGAGGAAAAGAAAUCAACCGAGAUUCCCCCAGUAGCGGCGAGCGAACGGGGAGGAGCCCAGAGCCUGAAUCAGUGUGUGUGUUAGUGGAAGCGUCUGGAAAGGCGCGCGAUACAGGGUGACAGCCCCGUACACAAAAAUGCACAUGCUGUGAGCUCGAUGAGUAGGGCGGGACACGUGGUAUCCUGUCUGAAUAUGGGGGGACCAUCCUCCAAGGCUAAAUACUCCUGACUGACCGAUAGUGAACCAGUACCGUGAGGGAAAGGCGAAAAGAACCCCGGCGAGGGGAGUGAAAAAGAACCUGAAACCGUGUACGUACAAGCAGUGGGAGCACAGAGCAAUCUGUGUGACUGCGUACCUUUUGUAUAAUGGGUCAGCGACUUAUAUUCUGUAGCAAGGUUAACCGAAUAGGGGAGCCGAAGGGAAACCGAGUCUUAACCGGGCGUUAAGUUGCAGGGUAUAGACCCGAAACCCGGUGAUCUAGCCAUGGGCAGGUUGAAGGUUGGGUAACACUAACUGGAGGACCGAACCGACUAAUGUUGAAAAAUUAGCGGAUGACUUGUGGCUGGGGGUGAAAGGCCAAUCAAACCGGGAGAUAGCUGGUUCUCCCCGAAAGCUAUUUAGGUAGCGCCUCGUGAAUUCAUCUCCGGGGGUAGAGCACUGUUUCGGCAAGGGGGUCAUCCCGACUUACCAACCCGAUGCAAACUGCGAAUACCGGAGAAUGUUAUCACGGGAGACACACGGCGGGUGCUAACGUCCGUCGUGAAGAGGGAAACAACCCAGACCGCCAGCUAAGGUCCCAAAGUCAUGGUUAAGUGGGAAACGAUGUGGGAAGGCCCAGACAGCCAGGAUGUUGGCUUAGAAGCAGCCAUCAUUUAAAGAAAGCGUAAUAGCUCACUGGUCGAGUCGGCCUGCGCGGAAGAUGUAACGGGGCUAAACCAUGCACCGAAGCUGCGGCAGCGACACUGUGUGUUGUUGGGUAGGGGAGCGU
rnacentral:rRNA from 2 species